rnacentral:sRNA from 1 species
UGCUAGAGCGUUUCGAUUAGAAAGGUGUUUUGUUCGAGCAUUAAAGAUUGUUGCAAUGGUUCUAUCUUAAGGUAGUCAUUUGUUAAAUUUUGGUAUUCAAUCUCGAGAGCUUCAUAAGUCUAGCGAGCUUCAUAAACACACUACAAGUCAUGUGUAUAAAAUUUCCAAUUCUGUAAUCACAAGUCUAAACUUAAUCUGAAUCCAAAUCACAAAAAGCAUUUUCAAAAUUGAUUAAAAAAAAAACUACAAUAUAGAAAAGAUUUUAAUUGAUGCUUGGAACGGAACUAACAUUACCUGUUAUGAUUUCGGGCCUGAAAGUAUUCUGAGUUUUGAUUCAGAACCACUCGGUAUUAAAGAAAAAGAAGACUUACUACAAAAAAAA